ensembl:lncRNA
UUUGCUUAAUAUAUGUCUCAGCAUUUUCCUCAGCACUUCCAGCCAGCCAACCGGCACAAGCACAGAAAGAAAAUCCGCCGCUGAUUACCACAAAAGGCUUUGAGACCUUUACUUCAACCUGGACGGGCGGGGGAGAAACGGGCAAGCGGCUCCGCGGAGCAACACUGCCCCCUGCAGACCACAGAAACCAAAAUGCCAGCAAGCCCGGAAGAAAAUCGAUCCUUCCCGCUGGGUUUUCGGGCAAAGGACUUAUGGGGAAUGCCCUUGAGGACCAAAGAAAGAAAGGGAACAUCUCGAAGGGGCCCGGGCCAACCGCCCCUGGACCGCGCGAGUUCCGCUCGACCCGCCCACAGAACCACAGCGAGGCGGGCAAGAAGUCAGGACGUCCAGGAAGAUCCGGAGUUGCUGAGGGCUGGUUCUGGGCCUGCCCUGGGGAGCAUUGAGUCCGUUGGCCGUGUCCGACUCUUUGCGACCCCAUGGACUGCAUGCAGCACGUCAGGAGGUUUCCCUGUCCUUCACCAUCUCCCAGAGCUUGCUCAGACUCCUGCCCAUUGAGUCAGUGAUGCCAUCCAACCAUCUUGUCCUCUGUCAUCCCCUUCUCCUGCAGUCAGUCUUCCGCAGCAUGGCAGGCUGUCUUACUCUCGAUCCCAGAAUUCCUCAACGAUGGGAAGCAAGACAAGGGUAACCACUCCUUCCACUACAUUCACUAUGUCAGCUUAUAUUAUGUUGUUGGAUUUUUAAGUGUCAGUGCGUCCGGCGAAAGUUCUCACAACGGGCUCUCUGAAGGGCUCAGACGCAGUCUGAAUCAGCCAACCGGCACAAGCGGAGGAAAACAAAAUAAAACCAAACCAGCUGUUUCUUGUGGCCAAAAGCUUCCUGUUAUUUUAUUAAAGCGCGAGGGCGGAGGAAAAAACCGGCCCGGCGACACUGUGGAGCAACACUGCCACCUGCAGGCUACAGAAACCAAAACGCCGCAAGCCCGGAAGAAAAUUCAUCGUUUCUGCUGGGUUUUCCCGCAGAGGACUGGACAGCGUGGACGCGAAAGUUAAGGGGGAUGCCCGUAAGGACCAGAGAAAGGAAGAGAAUCUCUCGACGGGGUCCGGCCAAACCACCCCUGGACAGCGAGCAGUCCGCGGAACCAUAGCAACACGGGCAGGAAGUUAGGGUGUCCGGGAAGAUCCGGAGCUUGGUGGGCGGGGCUGCACUCCGAUUGGCUGGCUCUGGGCAUGCGCGCAGCCACCCAGUGAGGCCCGUGCCAGUCUCUUGGCCCUGGUCGGCUGGGAGUUUUGUCUGGGAACUUGUUUGGAACUCUCCACUGAAGAACCUGACCGGUCGUGACGUCCGGGUCCUGUCGCCCACUGCCGAAGCCCCCCACGUGCGGGGACGUUACAAGUCCCCUGUCCAUUCUCCUCCCUCCCACCCCCGGCCUGUGAACGCGUUCCUCCCGUGGUACACUCGCUGUUCUCUCAGGCCUCACUCUUCUGA